GGUAGGCGCAUGCGCGAUGCGCGGCUGCUGGCGCGUCGCGCACCGGGGCUGAGGUGGCCGGCGCCGAGGAGGGGGCGGGACGCGCGGCGCUAUGGCUGAGGGUAGCGGGGAAGUAGUCGCAGUGCCCGUGACCGGGGCUGCCAACGGCUUCAGUAAUGGGGCCAGUGGGACCUCGGCGCAGACCAACAACCCGCUGUCGCGGAAGCUGCGUAAGAUCCUGGACACGCGGCUGGACAACGACAAGGAGAUGUUGGAAGCUCUCAAGGCACUCUCAACCUUUUUUGUUGAAAAUAGUUUGCGGACUCGAAGAAAUUUACGUGGAGAUAUUGAACGCAGAAGCUUAGCCAUCAAUGAAGAGUUUGUAAGCAUUUUCAAGGAUGUGAAGGAAGAACUUGAAAGCAUACAUGAAGAUGUUCAGGCGAUGAGCACCUGUUGUCAAGACAUGACAAGUCGCCUGCAGGCAGCCAAGGAACAAACUCAAGAUUUAAUAGUGAAAACCACUAAGCUUCAAGCUGAAAGUCAGAGAUUAGAAAUCCGAGCCCAAGUUGCAGAUGCCUUCUUAUCCAAGUUCCAGCUGACAUCCGAUGAGAUGAGUCUUCUCCGAGGGACAAGAGAAGGACCUAUCACUGAGGAUUUUUUCAAGGCCUUGGGAAGAGUAAAACAGAUUCAUAACGAUGUAAAAGUUCUCUUGCGUACAAACCAGCAAACAGCAGGUUUAGAAAUUAUGGAACAGAUGGCCUUGCUUCAAGAAACAUCUUAUGAAAGACUUUACCGAUGGGCUCAAAAUGAAUGCAGAUCAUUGACACAGGAAUCAUGUGACAUAUCUCCAGUACUGACUCAGGCAAUGGAAGCUCUACAGGACAGACCUGUCUUAUAUAAGUAUACCUUAGAUGAGUUUGGAACAGCCAGAAGAAGUACAGUUGUUCGUGGAUUUAUUGAUGCUCUUACAAGAGGAGGCCCAGGAGGUACACCUAGACCCAUUGAAAUGCACUCCCAUGACCCUUUGAGAUAUGUAGGAGAUAUGUUGGCUUGGCUCCAUCAAGCUACUGCUUCUGAGAAGGAACACCUUGAAGCUCUCUUAAAGCAUGUAACUGCACAAGGUGUUGAAGAAAAUAUUCAAGAAGUUGUUGGCCAUAUCACUGAGGGUGUGUGCAGGCCUCUAAAGGUUCGAAUUGAACAAGUAAUAGUUGCUGAACCUGGGGCAGUUUUAUUAUAUAAAAUUUCUAACCUCCUCAAAUUUUACCAUCAUACAAUCAGCGGCAUUGUUGGAAAUAGUGCAACUACAUUGUUGACUACCAUUGAAGAAAUGCAUUUGCUGAGCAAAAAAAUAUUCUUCAAUAGCUUGAGUCUUCAUGCAAGCAAAUUAAUGGACAAGGUUGAACUCCCACCACCUGAUCUUGGACCAAGUUCUGCAUUAAAUCAGACGCUCAUGUUGUUGCGUGAAGUUUUGGCAUCUCAUGAUUCCUCAGUUGUACCAUUAGAUGCCCGUCAAGCUGACUUUGUACAGGUUUUAUCAUGUGUCUUGGAUCCUCUCCUCCAGAUGUGUACUGUAUCAGCCAGCAAUUUAGGCACUGCUGACAUGGCCACUUUCAUGGUCAAUUCACUCUACAUGAUGAAGACAACAUUAGCUCUGUUUGAAUUCACUGACAGACGUCUGGAGAUGCUGCAGUUCCAGAUUGAAGCACAUUUGGACACACUUAUAAAUGAGCAAGCUUCUUAUGUUUUAACUCGAGCAGGCUUGAGUUAUAUCUAUAACACCGUGCAGCAGCAUAAACCUGAACAGGGCCCGUUAGCUAAUUUGCCCAACCUAGAUUCUGUGGCAGUGAAAGCUGCGAUGGUUCAGUUUGAUCGCUAUCUCUCAGCCCCAGACCACCUGUUAAUGCCACAGCUGAACUUUCUUCUGAGUGCCACAGUGAAGAGCCAUCCAGUCACAGUGAUAUCUGGGCUGAUGUUGUCUCCAACUGAAACCAUGUCACGGAUCCUUAACCUGGGCAGGUGUGAGAAGUCAGAAGACAAUACUUGUGGUUCCUGUGUUAGGGAUCAUCCACAUUUCACUCGCCCUAAGGACCAGGUGAGGGUUGGAAGUCCUUAAACAGAAUGUCUCUCUCCACCAUGGGCCCCUCCCUGCAGCAUCACCUACACCUGCUCGAUGGCAUUAAUCCCUUUGGAGGUGACUUUGUUUUUAUGUUUGUUUCUUUCACUUAGUUGCAAGGCUUAAGGCAAUGUGGUAGAAGGACGGGGCUGGAUUCAAAUCCCUCUGGGCCACCUUUUAAGCUAGAGACACAGGUUGGGCUCUGUGACCUCCCCAAUUCUCUGUUUUAUCACUGGGGUAAUAAAAAGGUGAGACUGAUAAAACCUGUAUCACACGGUUGAAUAAGUGACACAUAUGUAUUUACUUGCUAUAUCUAUUAGGGGCUCAAGAAAUAAGCAUGUCUACACCUACUUUUAAGACUGUUAUUUUAGUAAUCAGUGCUUUGCCCUGUACUUGCCCUUAGUAGGGGAUGCAAUAAAUGUACAUGAAAUAAAUAAAUCAAUAAAAAAGGGUGAAGGAAUCAGCCAAAUUUCUGAGAAGGGAGUUUGCCUGGAAGGCACUCCAUUCUCUCUCCUCCAGUCGGCAUCCCUCCCCCACACUCCUAACCUUCCGGACGCAUGUCCAGGUUUUGUGUCCUGUUAGCGUGGAGGUGGGGUGGACAGGAAGGGCGGGGGCUCCAGGCUUUCACUGCCUGCUUUUCAAGUUCAUCCGUUGAGGUGGCUGGAGACCACUGCUCUGUGUCUAAGCCUAAAUCUACCUAAAUGGGAAUGAAUCAGUGUUUCUGAAAAUUUUUGCUGUUAGGUGUGAAGACAAGUUUACAGUGUUAAAAAUAUGUCCCCAGAUAGCCCACUGGUGGUGACUCUCUGGCUCUGGGCUAUAACAAGCUUCAAGGGGACAGAGAAGGACGGAACUGCACCCCCGCCCACCAUCUCCUAAUGCCGUGCUCCGAGAGCAGAAAAGGAUGAAAGGCAAGCCUCCUCCGAGAAGAUGAAAAGGCUGCUUGUUAGGAAGCAUCGAAUUUUCCAUGGUAAAUGCUUUUCAGAACCCAGGUAGAGCCUGAGCCGUUUCCCUGAUGUGUGUCAAGCCCCAAGCCGCAGACGCAGGAAGGGGCAGAUCAUGAGCAACGGGGGCUGUGGGCCGAGGGAUCCCGUGUUUAGACAGAUGGCGUCCAGGGGUGCGUGGGGCCAGAGAAAGCAGAGCUCCACGCCCAGAGCACGGCCCCAGGGGGGCGAGUGGAAACGUCCGCAAGGAGCGCGUGAGGUCAUGUCGAGAGCUGGGCGUGAGGACAGGGUUCUCCAUCAUCGUCACCCACAGUGUCACCAGCAAAGAGAGGGGGGUUAGUCAUCAGCUGCAGAGGUGGCUUGUUUUUCCUGAAGGAGAGUAUGAAUGAGAGAAUGAAGUCAUAUGAAAAAGGGUAUCAAAAAUAAGAAGCCAGAGUGACAGAUUUGGGUGAGUGGGGUGGGGGUGGCAGUCCUACUUCCUUGUCACCUCCUGACCACCGUGUUCCCUCGGUCUAGACUGGUUUACUCCCUAGGUUUGACUUCAUGCAUCCGCAUGGAUCAAUUGGUAAUGGCUGCCUAGAACGUAGGAAAAGAAUCUGCUGAUUGAUGACUGAUGUCUGCCCCGGCACAGGAAAGAGGAAUAGGGGUAUGAGUGCCACUGACUGGCCAUCUUUGGUCUAGAACUCAACUUCCUUUAGGCUUUACUUUUCCUCAUCUUGAAAACCAUGCCAACCAGGGUUGUGUGUAUUAUUUUAAGCCUAAGGUGUUGCUAAUGAGAGUACUGUUGGAGGGUUGUUGUGGGUAUAUUAAGUUCACUUGCUUAUAACACAGGUUUUAGCAUUCAUUUAAAAAAUUUUUUUUAAGUUUUUAAUUUUACAAUGAUUUUUAUUUUUUUCAUUAUAUGCAGGGUUCUGUCAUUUUUCUACUAUAUAGCAAGGUGACCCAGUUACACAUACACGUAUACAUUCUUUUUUCUCCUAUUAUCAUGCUCCAUCAUAACUGACUAGACAUAGUUCCCAGUGCCACACAGCAGGAUCUCAUUGCUAAUCCAUUCCAAAGGCAAUAGUUUGCACCACGAUUUUUAGGUUCAAGUAAGUGAAAGUCUUUAACCUUUUAACAUCAUUCACCAUAGCCCACUCAUUGUGCCGUGGUAUCUAGGAUUCAAGUUAUGCUGGUAUUAUGUUAUCAUUUACAUAAUGCAGUGGUACCUGAUACAGGCUUAUGGAUUAUAGGCUUCGGUUGGUUGGGAUUUUAUAAUGAAAUGUCAAAGAUGGAGACAUCGCACAAUUUAUUCUAGAAGAGGAUGGGAUCUCUAAAACCCUCGUAGAGAUCUAGGUGUGUCUGUACCUAUCUUCAAAAUGUGUGAAAUGGAGAAUGAGAGGUAAGUGAUAAUAUAAACCUGUAUUUUAAACAGCUGCUUCAUAACAAAUAAGUUUUUUGAUUGCAAGACCUCCCCCCCACCCCCCAAAAAUAGUCAUAGUGUCGAGGGUCUGGAAGAGACUUUUGAGAAUUGCCCCUAACUUUUAACCACCCUUUAUAUUCAGCAGGACUUCAUAUGAAGGAAUUCCAGAACUACUUUGUACAAUUUUCUUCUUCAGAACUCCUAAAGCAGCUUUGACAGUCUCCUUGAAUAACCUAUUCCAUGACAGAUCCAGGUUUUGUGGGGCCUGGAGCUCAUACAUAUUUCGGGGUUCCUCUUAGAGAAAAUGGACACAAAAAUCCCUUUUACAAAUUUUAUAUAAACAUAAGACCUGUAAACACAUCAGCAAGUCCUCUGUCAGGGUUUUGGAAGGGGCCGCAGCCUUAACUUUAUCAGCCCUGAAAUGUUAACUUUAUCAGUUUGUCAUUCUUAGGAGUCAGUAGUUUUGGCUAAUUUCCUAAUCCUGCUGGAAUUGAGGAAAUAGGUCGUUACACACUUAUCUAAGGUAAGAAAGAAUGUAGUGGAUUCUGAUUUCAUUAUCACAUUUUUCUAGGAAUCAGAGUCCAAGUAGUGAAAAUGUAUGCUGGCAAAUUAAAAAAAAAAUAAGACUAUAGGCAAUUACCUAUAGUAUAGGCCUUUAAACACUGACACAUGUACAGAAAAUAGUGUGGAAAAGAUUUUCUCACUCUUUGGUGACAAAAUAAUCUGGCCUCCAAAAAUAACUACACUUUUUAUUUUCUUUCUUUUUUCCUCUCUCCAUUCCCCUGGCUUUCCCUCUUCUCCUUUCUCUUCCUUUUUCCUUUCUCCUUCCUUCUCCUUUUCCAUCUGCAGCUUUCAUUUUCUUUUCCACUCUUUUCAUUCUUCUCUACCUCCUGGCACUGCUGUCUUUCCGUUUCUCUUUUGGGGUACCUUUUUCUCUUCAUUCUUUAAGCUCUAUAUUAAAAAAAUCCCAAAUUAUCACAACCAAAAUGUUAACUACAGCACAAAGUUAACCUCAAUGUUCCUAAAUAUCCCUUUCUUAUUUUACUUAUUUUUUUUUUUAAGGUUAUGGGAACAAGCUUAAGUUAACUGUGAGCCCAAGGACCUGAAGGCCCAAGACUCACCCGAGAGCAGAGUGAGUGAAAAUUUGUCUACGGGGGAGCAAAUGAACAAGCAGAAGAUCUGCUCUGGCUCUUUGCUUUAUGUUUCAUUUUAAGGAUAGCACAGGCUUUUACCUGAGCAUCUCAGCCGCUGUGAUGAUCCAGGAAGCAGUGGGAUCACCAAGCUCUCGCCUGAAAUAAUGCCACCCGACAAUCGACUGCUAGAUUACUCGCCUUUUUCCUACUUGAUGAUCUGUCACGUUGGACAUCCUCUUCCCACCGUUCAGCUGAGAGGCGAGAUGGGAAUUUUUCACAAGAAACUUUAUAGGAAGCUAAGAAGGCAGAAAAAGAAAAUGUAUUUCCCCCCUCCCUCCUCCUCGUCCUUUUCUUGCUAUUUCUCCUUUUUGUUUCAUUAAAGAGCACAAAAAAGACUGUACAGCUUCUAGACACUUACAUUUACCCCCUUUUUGUACUUUAGCUCCUUAUUCUGGAAGAAAGUAUUCUUCUCAGCUACAUGCGCCUUCACGAUGCUAGCAGAGCUUCGCGUUGUUUGUUUUAAUCACUUUCACAAUAACAAGCCGAAAUUCAUUAAAGGAAAAGAGAGUUACUUCUUUCUCAUGCUCUGCUGUUUUUUUGGCCACUAUUGAAAACAUUCAUUUUAUAACUAACCUAGCAAGCUUUGGGACCAAAGGAAGUGGUAAAACAGCUCCUAUUCACUUUUGUUUAAAAUGUAACCUAGAAGGGAAAAUGAAAAUUCUGAGAAAAUACCAAACAAAAUAGGGGGAAUUUGGCAAUCUGGUGCAAAAUUCAAUUUAACAUACAUCUCAGAAUUUUCGAACUAUGCCUCUUGGAAUAAACAAUUUGAGUUA